CCAUUUAUUCCAGCUUGCUGCCUUCUUCUUCAGGUCGAAAAUGUUUCAUUCAUUGCAAACAAGUUAGAGACAAUUUGGAAAGGGAUAGCCAGUGGAGAGUACACCAAUUUUUCUCUGAAAACAACAUUAUUUCUGGCCUCGUGGAAGCUUGCGCUCCUGAACACCUCGACGAGGUGGCGGAUGUACGCCAUCGUCGCCGGGUGGAUGUCUUCCCUCGCCCUCGCCGCCGCCACCAUCGCCGGAGAAGCAGUCGAGAUUGAGCAAGCUGAGAAGGACACAUAUACCUUACCGCCGGCGAGGAAUCAGGCCGGCGGUGCCGACGAGAAGCGGCGGCCGGCGAUGAAUUAG
rnacentral:lncRNA from 1 species